ACACUAAGCAGCCGUACCUUCGCACGAAGUGUACGCUCCUCUUCGCUUCUCUCUUGCCCUUUUCUGGCGUUGGUGCCUCUUCCCUUCUUUCUACAUUAUAUAUAAUACACACACACGCACACAUAGUCUCUGAGCUGGGUCUGUCUGUGUGUCUGUGUGUGUGGGCAAUCUCGCUUUCAUUAAAGCACUGCUCCCCACCUGAACACUGCCUUCCCGCUGACGUCUUUCCCUUCCCUCCUCCUCCCACGCCCUUCUGAAUGAGACACACGUUGGGCGUAUCGUUCUGCUCUUUCUUCUGCCUUGCCGUUCCUCUGUUGUUUGUCGCACAGUCGCACUGCUGUGAGCCCACCCGUCUCUCUCUCUGUGCGUGUGCGUGAUCAGUCGAAGGCUUUGACGCAUUCUUCUUCCGGCCUCUCUCUCUGUGAGGCCCUUGUACCUCGUCUCCCCCUCUCCCUUCUCUGCCUCUCGUCGUUUUGCUUUAGAUACCUUUCUCUUCGAGCCUCGCCGCACAGAAGAGGGAGACCCAUCAUGCUGCGUGGACGGGCUGGCCAUGUCGGCGCGUGGUUGGUGCUGCUGCCUCUACUGCUGCUACUGGGGCCAGGCUAUGGCGACUCUGGUGCUGCGAUACAUGCCGCCAGACAGCCGCCGCUCUCGAAUGUGGAGCGAAUCGCACCCGCGCUUGCCGAUGAGAGCAGGACCGCGACAGCAGCCUUCACCAACCUCAUGCAGCUCUCAGAGGCGGUGUUGGCGCCUGCUUGGAGUGCGGGUGGAUUUGCCUACAUCGUGAAGGGCGAAACGACGGAGAGCCCCGCCGGUCCUUCGGGUCCGGUGUGUGCGCAUACGCGCACGUCGGCAGGCGGAAUAACUGCCCCAUUCACCUUUUCCAUGUUCGACGCGCAGUUCAGCCCUGUGUAUCUCGUGUCGCCAUCCGCGGUGGAGUCAACAGGCGAUGCCGCAUCGCUCACUGCCCAUGUGGCAGGCAGACUCGACCUGCAGCAAGGGUGCUACACGACGCUCACCACUCCCACUUCUCUGGGCACCUGUGCAGGAGUACUGAGGUCGUCGCCCGCACAGUGCGUGCUGGGCGAACUUGACGCGUUGCACGAAAAUUGGACGGCGCACUCCCUCGCCGCCACGGCGAACGCCACGCGCGACGACGAGUCACUGACCCUUUCCGCCAAGGGCUUGUGUGCAGCGGAGCUGCUUACGGUAUUUGUGAGCGACUACCUUCCCCAGCGCGCGUGGCUGCGGACUGUAGUGCCUCGUGUAGUGGACGCUCUUGCCCACGCUGAACAGGCAGCGCGCGCCUACAGCGCAGCCCCUCUGAGCUUGUCGGAUGCAGCGGAGGCAGCGGACAUGCAGCGAGCGGUGGCAGAGCAGUGGGGCAGCUACCUGUGGUCCACGUACGUGCCGCACCUUCAGCGCAAGUGGACGCUGUUUUACCACCUUGCCGUCGCAACGCUGACGCCGUCGCAAGUGGCGCCAUCGCUCGACGACACAGCGACUGAGUCCGUCACGGGUGAGCCGGGACCUGCGCCAAAGGUAUCGUGCCCGAUAGUGGACGCGUGGCCGCAGCUGCGGUACUCUCUGACGAGCAGCAACCGCGGGCUUCGAACCUUCGCGCGUCUUGUCGCUUACAUGGAGGACGCGCUCGACAGCUUGGAAGAGCUUCUAUCCAGCGGCGGCGGCGCGGAUACUCUCAGCGAGAAACAGACGGAUGCGCUUGUUUUGCAGCUCCUGCAGCGCACCUACUGCGUGACCACGACGUACUUCUUUUCCGUCACCGCCCUCUUUGACGCACCGUUCCUGGACGCGUCCUCUUCGGUGUGGGUGGAGCCCGCGACACACAUGCAGGCGUGGGCGAUGCAGACGAUGCGAGAGGCCUCGGUGGCAGACGCCAUGGCCAAUGCUACGGCGUUCCAAGUGGCCACUACAGCGCGCGUGACGCGUUUGACCGAAUCGCUGCCAAGGAGCGAGAAAGCGUUCAUGGCGUGUCUGGCUGCCUUCCUCGACGCGACGACACCCCUGACCUCUACUGCAGUAACGUCUCCAUCCGACUGUGCCCAGGCGCUGCUGAAGGCACGCGCAGAGGCCUCAGGGGCCACCGUCAGGGAUUCUCUCGUUCUUCUCUGGGACAUGGGCCAGAUGCGUGCCGUGAAGCCCACCUCAGACACUGUCCCCGGCACUACGCGCUACGAGUCGACGGUAUCGCUGCCGACAAGAUCCACUGACGCCAGGGCUUCCGCCCCAAGCGAACCCAUCUACUGGACGAUGUUUCAGCAGGCGUCGGCCAGCUUUACAAGCCAAACGUCUCUUUACACGCCGAGCGUCGUUGCCUCCGUGCCCAAGGAGCCGUGCGCGGCUGGCUCUGCUGCUCGUAGAGCUCUGGGCACGGCGUCGAACCGCGCAGCGACGAAGGAGGCCCGCCACGGCGUUCUUGUCGGCUCACAGGCUGCAGCGACAUGCGCUGCCGGCACUUACGCAAACCCCGACACGGCAGCUUGUGAGGCGUGCCCGUCCGCCUGCUCCGCAUUGCUGACGGCUGCGACGCCUGUCUAUUGCCCAGGUGACGGCCUCAUGCACGGCUGCCCCGCACUUCCUGCCGGCGCCGUGCUCGCUGGCAGCCCCAGCACAGGACUCGACAACGCCAAGGCUGCUUGCCGAUACGCUUGUAUCAACAUCUACCAGGCACCGCUGCACAACGGUUGCGUGUCCACGCCUGGCCUGUUCUACAACACCACUGCAGUCAUCAGUGACAAGCGCAGCGGCGGCUGGUACGACGCGUGUGUGGGGCCUGCAUCGUUGCUGCCCUCCAGCUUCCCUGCUCAGUCGCACGACGCACGCGUGUUCGCGUUCGUUGGUAGCGGCACGACGGACGAGCCGAUGUCGUGCCGCUUUGUGCUGAUGCAUCGCGUCGUGUCCUCUGCCGUGUCGGCGGAGGCGUUGCAGACAGUGGGACUGCUGCUGCAACCCCUUUCCGUCUCCGCUGCCUCCGCGACUGCGACGUCGUCUGCAGGUCUGCCGCCACAUCGCGACGGCGUUGCCUGGGAGGCGGCAAUGCAGCUGAAUGCCACGCUGCUGUGGGAGAUGCACACGUCGCUACUUCGCUCGCAGCAGCGGGCGUCGGGUACCGGCACAGGCGCUGCCAACACCUCUAUUGCCCAUGUGCUGGUUGCUGUGCGAGAGGGUGGCGAGGGAGUCGCAUCGCAGUCGCGACUGUCCUGGUCGCUUGUCUCCAGCUAUCAGCGCCCCGAGGGCGGUGAGACAGCUACUACCACCUCUGCCACUGGAGCAGCGCCGCCGCCCUCCGUCACCUUCACGCUGCGACUGUUGCUGAAUGUGUCCAUUUUGUCCGCUCCGCAGAGCACCGACGCCUUCGCCGCCUCGGGCGACCGUACCAGGACGCCUUGCACGACCCCCGCCCCGUCGUCGCUCACGGUGCUCAGUGCCCCGUGGCAGUGGAGAGUCACAUCUAUGACUCUCAACCAACUCGCCAAGACCACCUACCGCGUUGUGCUGAGCCGCUCGACGAGCACGGUAGUCUUCUACAAGGACGCGGCGGCGGUUGGCAACCCGGUGACAGUGGACUGGCCGCUGUGGAGGCAGUCACAGAUGAUGUCCCCACCCUUGGGCAAAACGACGAUGUACCUCUCUGUGGCAGGGUGGGUGGCCGGCUACGUGGAGCGCGAGCAGUGGGUGCUCAAGAGUCCACCUCUCCCCGUCAGCGGCAGCUCGAAACUUGCCGCGCUGCCGCUGCACUACGACUACGUGCCGGGGAUGGUGACGCGACUCUCGAGCACGGCGUCCCCUGUCAGCCCGCUGCACGAAGCGCUGAGCAGAGCUGAGACUGCGUGGCGAUCGCAGGCGGAGACCUUCGUCGAGCAGCAAGGCAGAGAUGUGGAGGCUCUUACAGACGUGCACUCGCUUGGCCUGUACGUGGCCUCUUUUCCUGCCGUCACCGCCAAAGUGAGUGCGGCGCUCAGCGCCUUGUCGGUGCGUCAGUCCACAGGACUCGAUGGCGUUUGCCGUUCCGGCUACGGCUAUGGCGUGGCGGCGGGCGGCACCUCUGCUACGCCUGUGUGUGCGACGUGCACAAGUGGCUCCUACUCGGUGUUGAGCGCCACACCAGAGCGCAACACGUGCGCGUGCGUGCCGCAGCGUGCCUUGGGCGGCGUGACGUCUUUGGCCGGUCAACCGGUGCGUGCGUGUCUACGCCGCCCAGCCGGCCCGGCCGCACCGAGCUCUUACCUGCGAUCGCCAGGCCGUCUUUUUGUGGACUCGAACGUGGUGAUCGGCUAUGGCAUCCCCCUCGGCGGGUACGGCAGGGGCACCGGUGCAGCCGGCACGGGGCUGCCUGCGACGACGUCUCUGGAGGGCUCAGUGACCUGCAUGUACGGUCUCACCGUUCCGCGCCUGCUGACCACCGCACCUACCGGGUCGCUCAACCUCUCGGCGACCCUGCAGUACACCACAGGACUCGGCGCCGAGGAGUGCGGCGUGAUGGCAGCUGCCCGCGGCGGGGCCACAGCCGUGACUACUCAGCCCACCUACAGCGCUCUCUCCAGCUACGGCCUCCGUCUGCGUGCAUCGCGCUUGCCCACCCACACCAUUACACUGACCAACAACUCGAGGCUCUUCGCGAAUCAGACGGUGCUCACGGUUGGCGUGCGAGACUACGCCCUUCUCCCUCACUACGCGAUGGAUUCACUCCUGCACAUGCGCGGGAUCUCCGAGUAUCAUGCCGCCUUCCUAACGUACAUGCUCCGCUGUGCAACAGUGUCGGCCGUGCUGCGGUGCGGCUCGCCCCUGCGUGACGCAGGCAAUUUCACCUGGGCAGGCUCCUCAUCGCUCGACUCACCCGUGCUGCGCGUUAACCUCACCGGAAUGAUCACGGAGGAGUGCCAGGUGUCUUUCACGGUGCGCAGCGCCACUGCGGCCGCGAGUGAGGCUUCCGUCCCGUACACGUCGUGGCCUUACACCUAUUUGGCAACAGAAGCGAACGCGUCGCUCUUCUUCGAGGCAUCGCCGACGCUGCACUACACGCUGCUCCCAUCGGUGGAAGCUUUUGAGACGACGAAGCUGCGCUACGAACCGCUGGCUGAGAGCAGCAGCCUUAUCAUCUCCUUCGUCAUGCUCGCGUUCUCUCUCCCCCUCAUCAGCAUAAUCUUGAUCAGCGUGCACCCUCCUUCCUUUCAGCCGCUCUCCUGGCGCCCCUACGAGCGCGCACGAGCGAGGCGGCAUUGCCAGCACCGACAGCUGCACAGCGGUGCAUGUUCAGAGAGAGGUGCCAGCUGACAGCGAAGAGAAAGAGGGAUGUGACGACGCGGUGAUCGAGAGCCUCCGCUCUUCUUCGCCCUCUCCCCGACGCUUUAACUCACCCGGUACCAUGACACGCUCGCACGCGCGGACACGCAGCAGAGGGCCCGCUUCUCCCUGCUGAGCGCCCGCCCCACUCCACGGCUUCCGUCCCCGCUGACGCGACUUUCUCAGAAGAUGGCUUUGUCUCUUGCUUUUCUGAGCACAUUUGUGUGGACGGCCGCAGACGUGCGCCUGACAGGCACACGUGCACCCGCAUGCCUGUGUGAAGUGGAUGCGAGGCGGGCGGCGGCGGGGGGGUGGAAGGAGAGGGCGACAAGAGAGAAGGCCGAAACCAGCGUGACGCAGUGGACAGAGAAAGGCAGGAGAGGCAGAUGUGUGUCUCUCUGCCGCUCGCGCGCGCGCGAGCAGACUUGCCUCUGUCCUUCCAUGAUGCUCGUGCGACCUUUGCUACUUGUUCCCCCUCCCCUGGAGGCAUCCCGUCUGAUGGUCACGCCGACGGCCAGACACGCACUCGCCGGCUCAUGCGUUACCACAAGCAGGCACACGCACAGAAGCGUUCUCAGACACAAAGCCACACUCUUUCCUUGGCUCUUUCGCCUUCACCGUGGUGCUUAGAUCGGGAGACUACGCAGCCGGUGCGCGUGUUGUUGAUACGUCCGCGCUGCUGCUCAUCUGUUUCCGCCACCACGUCAUGCGUGCGCGCUGUUCGUCUCUUUUCCUUUUUCAGAUGCACGGACCCUCGUCUUCGCGGCGUGCGCUCGUCGCCUUCUUUACUCUCUUUUCUCUUCCCACUUUGGCGGAUGUGUGCCACGUCGCGUUGUGCUUGUGUGCGUGUCUGUGCCUCGCUCGUUUCUGGGCGAGGACGGCGGCGAUGAGCUCUGGCGCUUGUGCGGGAAGACGGCCUCCUCACGUCCUCCCCCCUGAUGGACGGCCCGGUCCGUCGAGGAACAGGGGAGACCAGGGGCGCCUUAUCUCGUCCUCUUCUCCACACACCUCACCCCACCCCCUUGCGAGCACAUCCGCACACAGCCGCACAUGUGCAGAAGCACCCUGCACAGGCGCAGCAAGCGAACCGAAAUCAGGCAAAUCACGGUUUUCUCUUCUCCGUUGCCGUGGCGUGCGCUGAGGAUUAGGCGCACGCUGCCGAUGUGUGCCACCAAGCCACACUUAUUCUUUUCGUUGGCUCAGGCCGGCCUCCUCUCUACCUUCUGCUUCGCUGUUCAUGUGUGUCUAUGGAGGUCGUAGGAAAGGGCCCGCAUCGCGCAGUCGGCGCACAUGCAGUGAGGAGGGUGGAGGGACAGGCGCGAGGCGGAGGCGUGAGUGCGCCUUUUCCCUCUCUUCCCCCGCGAUGGCACGAGUAAGAUACGGAAGGGCCUCUCAGGAUCGUGCAGCCAACCGUCAUCACCGCCACCGCUCCUCUCAUAACCACCCAUACAUGUUCACUCAGCAAGGUAGGUGCAAUGGCAAGGCUACACGGACCAAACAAUGAACACAUGCCCGUACCCGCCGCGGCGCUGCCUGAGGGCAGCACAACAUAGCGCCUCCUCCUAUGCCGACACAUGCUGUGCUGAGGACGGCUGCGCUGUACAAGGUGUCGAAAUGGUGCCACCUCGCCAUCGUCGCAGGGCGUAUGCCAGGCAUUGAUGUGGCACGCUCACACGUCAGCCCACUACAUCCAAGCCCCUCUCCCCCUCCUAUGGCUGUCCUCGCUUCUCCGGCUGCACGUUAUAUCGCUCCUUACAGACGCACGCCGUUUCACGGAGAGAAUGCGGGGUGGGGAGGCGGGAGUGGCUGUAGGGCAGUGGGCUGCAGCCUCCUCGGCGCGGCUCCCUGGCAUCCGCCGGCGCCGCACGGCGCUGCUGAAACUAUUUUCACGUCUCUGCAUUUUCUCUUCAUUCGAGGUGCAUGUCUCCAACCCCCAUACCCUCUCUCCCUCUCCCCCUCCUGCCAACCGUGCUGUUCAACUCCAG
rnacentral:misc_RNA from 1 species